AUGCGCAUACGGCCGCCGGUUGCAAGCCAUCUGAGAAACUUGAUCACUGAGUUCGAGGAGAUUCAACUUGAAGCUCCUAAUGGCCGCGUGUACCCUGUUAAAAUCGGUUGGGAGUUUGGUGACAUUGUUCUUAGGUCUGGAUGGCACGACUUUGUCAAGGUGCAUCACAUAGAACAAAACUCCUCCAUCCGGUUCGUGUACCGUGGGAACUCCAGCUUCGAGUUCGAGGUUCACAUAUCCGAUUCACCCGGUCACGGCAACUCUUCCCCACCACCUCCUCGUGAUCGUCAUGUGCUGAAUGAACAAGUGGUGCCUGAUCCUGCACACGUUCAGACAUCAAUCAACAUUGACUAUACCAGGCUAAGCCAUGAACAAGACAAGAAAGUGCUAGAACUAGCUCAGAGCAGCAUGAGGUCUGAAUCUCGUCUGCAUGUGGCAACUGUGAACAAAGCAAAUGCCAAACAGGACUGCCAUGUUUACAUACCGUUGACUCUUUUGGACAUUUUCAAAGAGGGAAUAACUGAAGCUCCCAUUCAGCUCAAAGCCCAUAGCAAUGACAUGUUGUACGUUGUUGGCUCAAGCAAGCAUGGCGCCGAUCAAAUAAUCCUCCAAUCUGAGUUGAGUCGUUUUCUAGAUUGUCACCGCAUGCAAGACGAUGACCUCCUCGUCUUCAGAAGCAAGGGGAAAGCCCAGCUCGAAGUUCUUGUCCUUGACCCGAGUGGUUGUGAGAAACCUUGUUUUGAUAUGGGAAACUCUUCAAACGCCAGAGAAGGCCGUCGUGCACAAGCUCAGAACAUGGCUUCAACAUCCUUCCGUUGGGCUAAAUCAGGACUCCAAGCUCGCGAGUCUAAUGAAGCCGGUUUAGAAGCUCCUAGGUCCAACAAUUACAUAUCAAUCGGGCCCCCUCUACAUAGCCAACAGGAAGCCAAAGUCGAAGAGAGAGUUCGGGCAAUUGGUUCCGAAUGUCCUGUGUUUGUGAAAGUGAUCACCUCCAGUGAUGUUGCUACCGCUCCUUCUCUGUACUUGGGCAAUGAAUAUGCUUCAGCAUGCCUCCUGACCCAGCCAGGACGUCUCCACCUCCUGCUGGAGGGCGACGAGAGGGAUUGGGACUGCAAGUUGAGCUUCAGGAAAACUAACAAAACUUGGUGGAUUGACUGA
rnacentral:rRNA from 1 species